rnacentral:rRNA from 1 species
GACGUAGGGCGCGAGCGUUUGUCCGGAUUUAUUGGGCGUAAAGAGCUCGUAGGCGGCUCGUUGCGUCGGCUGUGAAAACCCGCAGCUCAACUGUGGGCUUGCAGCUGAUACGGGCGGGCUGGGGAUUCGGUAGGGGAGACUGGAAUUCCUGGUGUAGCGGUGAAAUGCGCAGAUAUCAGGAGGAACACCCGUAGCGAAGGCGGCACUCUGGGCCGAUACUGACACUGAGGAGCGAAAGCGUGGGGAGCGAACAGG